GCAGUACGUGCCUGACCGACCGGCUCCGUCACUGGAAUACGAGCAAGGAGGUUUCAAUCACUUUGCUAAAGGUGUUUGUUCUAACCAGAGCCUUGGUCGAUGAUGGGACGCCGUUCUCAGGCCAGGAGAGGAAGUGGAACUGCGUGACGGUGCGAGUCUCGCCGGUGCGUUGGUUCUUCAGGUAGAAGCUGCGCACCAAGUAGUCGUCGCACCAGAUAUGCUCGCUCACCAGAUGCACCUUAAAUAUGUCAAGACACUUUUAUUAGGAACUGUUAUGUAUUAAGCAUUUUCAAAUUAUUUUAAUAAUUAUGACCUAAUUAAUAGA